GAUGAACGCUAGCUACAGGCUUAACACAUGCAAGUCGCGGGGCAGCAUGGGGGUUGCUUGCAAUCCCCGAUGGCGACCGGCGCACGGGUGAGUAACGCGUAUCCAACCUGCCCUUCACCACGGGAUAACCCGGCGAAAGUCGGACUAAUACCGUAUGUUGUCCAUUGACGGCAUCCGAUUUGGACGAAAGGCUUGGCGGUGAGGGAUGGGGAUGCGUCCGAUUAGCCAGACGGCGGGGUAACGGCCCACCGUGGCUACGAUCGGUAGGGGUUCUGAGAGGAAGGUCCCCCACACUGGAACUGAGACACGGUCCAGACUCCUACGGGAGGCAGCAGUGAGGAAUAUUGGUCAAUGGGCGUAAGCCUGAACCAGCCAAGUAGCGUGCAGGAUGACAGCCCUAUGGGUUGUAAACUGCUUUUAUGCGGGGAUAAAGUGGCCCACGUGUGGGCUUUUGCAGGUACCGCAUGAAUAAGGACCGGCUAAUUCCGUG
rnacentral:rRNA from 1 species